ACACAUAGAACGUAACAAGAACAAAUUCUUAUUUACAAUGACGGCCUAACAAAAGGCCUCCUGCGGGGACGCGGGCUGUGAUUAAAAAUAAAAAAAUAUAUAAGUAUAGGACAAAACACACAUCACGACAAGAGAGACAACGCUACUUAAAGAGAGACCUAAGACAACAACAUAGCAAGGCAGCAACACAUGACAACACAACAUGGUAGCAACACAACAUAGCAACAGCACAAAACAGGGUACAAACAUUAUUGGGCACAGACAACAGCACAAAGCGCAAGAAGGUCGAGACAACAAUACAUCACGCAAAGCAGCCACAACUGUCAGGAAGAGUGUCCAUGAUUUGAGUCUUUGAAUUAAGAGAUUGAGAUAAAAUGAAGAGAUUGCGAUUAAAUCUGUGUUUGAAAUUCACCGCUCGACUGAGGGACCUUACAGAUAAUUGUAUGUGAGGUUACAGAGAUGAGGUAGUCAUUCAAAAAUAAUAUGCAACUCAUUAUGUGACUUAAGCACAUUUUUACUCCUGAAUUUAUUUAGGCUUGCCAUAACAAGGGGGUUGAAAACUUAUUGACUCAAGACAGUUCAGAUUUUUAUUUGUAAUUAAUUUGUAAAAACUUCAAAAAACGUUGUUCCACUUUGACGUGACAGUGACACAAAUUCUCAAUUUAAUUCAUUUUAAAUUCAGGCUGUAACACAUGAAAAUUUGGAAAAAAUCAAAGGGUGUGAAUACUUUCUGAAGGAAAUGUAUUCAGGGUGUGAUUAGCUUGGUUUAGCUGAACAGGUAUAUGUAUUCAGGGUGUGAUUAGCUUGGUUUAGCUGAACAGGUAUAUGUAUUCAGGGUGUGAUUAGCUUGGUUUAGCUGAACAGGUAUAUGUAUUCAGGGUGUGAUUAGCUUGGUUUAGCUGAACAGGUAUAUGUAUUCAGGGUGUGAUUAGCUUGGUUUAGCUGAACAGGUAUAUGUAUUCAGGGUGUGAUUAGCUUGGUUUAGCUGAACAGGUAUAUGUAUUCAGGGUGUGAUUAGCUUGGUUUAGCUGAACAGGUAUCUGUAUUCAGGGUGUGAUUAGCUUGGUUUAGCUGAACAGGUAUAUGUAUUCAGGGUGUGAU